rnacentral:rRNA from 1 species
GAUGAACGCUAGCGGCAGGCCUAAUACAUGCAAGUCGAACGAGAUUGUUGUAGCAAUAUGACAUGAAAGUGGCGCACGGGUGCGUAACACGUAUGCAAUCUACCUUUGAUAGGGGAAUAGCUUCGAGAAAUCGGAAUUAAUACCCCAUAACAUAUUCGAGUGGCAUCACUUGAUUAUCAAACCUCCGGGGGUCAAAGAUGAGCAUGCGCAACAUUAGCUAGUUGGUGAGGUAACGGCUCACCAAGGCUACGAUGCUUAGGGGGUCUGAGAGGAUGAUCCCCCACACUGGUACUGAGACACGGACCAGACUCCUACGGGAGGCAGCAGUAGGGAAUAUUGGUCAAUGGAGGCAACUCUGAACCAGCCAUGCCGCGUGCAGGAUGACGGCCCUCUGGGUUGUAAACUGCUUUUAUACGGGAAGAAAAAGAGCUACGUGUAGCUUAUUGACGGUACCGUAAGAAUAAGGAUCGGCUAACUCCGUGCCAGCCGCCGCCGUAACAC